GGGGAUUUAGCUCAGUGGUAGAGCACUUGCCUAGCAAGUGGAAGGCCCUGGGUUCGGUCCCCAGCUCUG
rnacentral:tRNA from 1 species